ACGGAAGGCAGCAGUGAGGAAUAUUGGUCAAUGGGCGGAAGCCUGAACCAGCCAAGUAGCGUGAGGGAUGACUGCCCUAUGGGUUGUAAACCUCUUUUGUUCGGGAAUAAAUGAGCCCACGUGUGGGUUUUUGCAUGUACCGUUCGGAUAAGCAUCGGCUAAUUCCGUGCCAGCAGCCGCGGUAAUACGGAAGAUUCGAGCGUUCUCCGGAUUUAUUGGGUUUAAAGGGAGCGUAGGCGGUCCUUUAAGUCAGCGGUCAAAUGUCGGGGCCCAACCCCGGCCUGCCGUUGAUACUGGAGGACUUGAAUACACACAAGGAAGGUGGAAUUCGUCGUGUAGCGGUGAAAUGCUUAGAUAUGACGAAGAACUCCGACUGCGAAGGCAGCCUUCUGGAGUGCGAUUGACGCUGAGGCUCGAAAGCGCGGGGAUCAAACAGGAUUAGAUACCCUGGUA
rnacentral:rRNA from 1 species